rnacentral:rRNA from 1 species
AUAAGUGGCCUAAAUGCCCCAAAGGCACCAAAUCCUUUCAGUCUCAAAAACUAAGCAGGGUCAUCCCUGGUUAGCACUUGGAUGGGAGACUGCCAGUGAAUACCAGGUGCUAUAAACU